AUUAUUUGUACAUUAACAUUAACAGAAGGCAGAAAAACAUUAAUAGAUGUCUUGUGCCAGAUUGUAGCAAAUUGCUAAUUUCCGCCCGUAGUCCCUGGGCAGGUAAAUGGCACAUUAAAAUACAGACAAAGUAUUUACAGUACAACAUAUAAAAUACAGAUACAUAAAGUC